rnacentral:rRNA from 1 species
CCCGGUAUCAGUCUGUGUAACUGUCAUAAGGCCAUAGAGGGUGAGAGCCCCGUACACUUAAGAGGUGAAACAUGGCAAUUGGUGUUGUCGGUCGUAAGGCCGGUAUGACCCGUAUUUUUACGGAAGAUGGGCAGGCGCUGCCCGUAACGGUAAUCGAGGUUGAGCCCAACCGCAUUACCCAACUGAAAACUCUUGAAAGCGAUGGCUACCGCGCCGUACAGGUGACUGUCGGUACUCGUCGUUCCUCUCGUGUUACCAAGAGCGAAGCGGGCCACUAUGCCAAGGCGGGCGUUGAAGCCGGUCGUGGUAUGUGGGAAUUCCGUCUUGCCGAUGGCGAAGGUGAAGACCUGGCCGCCGGUGGCGAGAUCACGGCUUCUGUAUUCGAAGACGGUCAGGUGGUUGAUGCCAUCGGUCAGUCCAAGGGUAAGGGCUUCCAGGGCGGUGUAAAGCGCUGGAACUUCUCCAUGCAGGAUGCCACUCACGGUAACUCUCUGUCUCACCGUGCUCCGGGUUCCAUUGGUCAGAACCAGACUCCGGGCAAGGUAUUCAAGGGCAAAAAGAUGGCGGGCCA